rnacentral:rRNA from 1 species
GACGAACGCUGGCGGCGUGCUUAACACAUGCAAGUCGAACGGAAAGGCCCUGCUUUUGUGGGGUGCUCGAGUGGCGAACGGGUGAGUAACACGUGAGUAACCUGCCCUUGACUGUGGGAUAACUUCAGGAAACUGGGGCUAAUACCGGAUAGGAGCUCCUGCUGCAUGUUGGGGGUUGGAAAGUUUCGGCGGUUGGGGAUGGACUCGCGGCUUAUCAGCUUGUUUGUGGGGUAGUGGCUUACCAAGGCUUUGACGGGUAGCCGGCCUGAGAGGGUGACCGGCCACAUUGGGACUGAGAUACGGCCCAGCAUCCUACGGGAGGCAGCAGUGGGGAAUAUUGCACAAUGGGCGGAAGCCUGAUGCAGCAACGCCGCGUGCGGGAUGACGGCCUUCGGGUUGUAAACCGCUUUCGCCUGUGACGAAGAGUGAGUGACGGUAAUGGGUAAAGAAGCACCGGCUAACUACGUG